rnacentral:rRNA from 1 species
UACGUAGGUGGCGAGCGUUGUCCGGAAUUAUUGGGCGUAAAGCGCGCGCAGGUGGGAUCUUAAGUCUGUUCUGAAAGUUCGGAGCUUAACUCCGUGAUGGGAUGGAAACUGGGAUUCUUGAGUAUCGGAGAGGAAAGCGGAAUUCCCCGUGUAGCGGUGAAAUGCGUAGAUAUGGGGAGGAACACCAGUGGCGAAGGCGGCUUUCUGGACGAUGUCUGACACUGAGGCGCGAAAGCCAGGGGAGCGAACGGGAUUAGAUACCCCGGUAGUCCUGGCCGUAAACGAUGGGUACUAGGUGUGGGGGGUGUCAACUCCUCCCGUGCCGGCGCUAACGCAAUAAGUACCCCGCCUGGGGAGUACGGCCGCAAGGUUGAA